rnacentral:miRNA from 1 species
UGCAAGCAUUGUGGGAGUGAAG